rnacentral:misc_RNA from 1 species
AAGUCGUAACAAGGUUUCCGUAGGUGAACCUGCGGAAGGAUCAUUAACACGCUUUUAUCCAAUAUAUAAACAAACGUGAACUAAAACCCCCGCCCUAGCAUCGCUAGUAUCUGAUUUGUGACUUUGAAAUGCAAAAUGAUGUUAUCGUCUAUUAGACUUUGACUUUAUUAGUGUUUCGGGUUAUUACUCGGAUGAUGUUAGGCUAUUUCUUUUUAUAUUAAAACCCUAUAACAUUAAAAUGAACUAAUACUAAGGCAUUCUAGUCUUCAUUCAGUCGUCAUUGACUGUGAUGAAUACUGCUUGUUGUUAUUUACGAAAUGUAUUGAACAACUCUUAGCAAUGGAUAUCUUGGUUCUC